ensembl:lncRNA
UGGUGAAGUGAGUCCAGCUUUGAGCCCAAACAUGGAUUUGAGUUCCGACUCUGCCACCUUUUGGUUCUAAGGCCCUCGAUAUCAACACCAUGACAGCACAGUCCUUUCCUGCCAGGUGGCACAGUGAGGUGCUAGAAGAGCUCUCGUCCUGUCCUGGGUGUGUGGACAGUGUCCUACCCCAUUCUGAUGCUCGUGGCUCUGUGGGGGUCGGAGGGGAAGGAGAGGGCCGGUGGCAUGCUUUAAGUACAGGUGAGGGAAUGCCUUACAGCCGCCCCAGGAGUCAAAUCCUCAUCACCCUUCGCAUCCACCAGCUCUAGCUGCAGAGGGCAGUUCUGCCAGCACAGCCUCAUGCACUCCAGGCUUACACCGUAACCAGGAGGAUUCCCAUUAACGCCAUGUCUAGAUGUUGAUGUCUCCCAAGUGUAUUCCUCCAGCCCGAGCUCCCACCCCCAAGAUCAAGGCCCUUACAGCCAAGUACCCAUCUGACAUCUCUGCCUGCGAGGUCACUAAUGGGCAUCUUCAACUUACUGUGGUAGGUCAUUAAAUAACGGUUCUCAAUCAGCUCGCCUCACACACUUCUUCAAUGUCGGUUUGUGGUUCCUUCUAUCUGACGGGCAUUGUUGUUUCUCCAACAGCGGCUUGAAUCUGAGUUUGUGUUGAUUGAUAAAUAGAACUUGCCACUGUGUAAGUUCCAGAGCUUAAGGAUCCUGUAGUUUCCACUCUGUCCUUAAAAUUCAGCUGCAUAUAAGAAGCCUGGGCUAGCAUCCUUGAUGUGAGACAAUGUAGUUUAGAACUGAAAACCACGUGGAUCCAUCCCAAAUCCAAGCAUCCAGCAAAACAUAGCCGAGGACGUCCUAACUGGCAGGACCAGAAAACCAGCUACCUGGUCACUCCCCAGAAUUUGGAGAAAUUAAAGAGCUCUCCCCUGCGGCCCCAUACCAGGGAUCAAACUCAGGACCUUGCGCUUGUCAGGCAGGUGAGGUGCCACUGAGCUACAUCUGCAACUGGAGGAAUUAAUAAACCAUUGUUGCCUUAAGUCACUAAGUUCUG